UAUGCCUUCUGAGGAUUCACAAACAAAAUGUCCUCUUGUCUAGUCAAACUAAACCUAAAUCAUCCCAGAUGGUGAUCUCUCUCCUUUCUCAUUAAAAUUCCCAGAUAAGCCCAUUCCAUAGCAUUCUUUGGUAGCAUGAUCCCCCUGUUUAACAACCUUGACCAUUAAGACUGCCUAAGGUCUGAUCUGAAUCCCUCCUUCAUUAUCUUUUAUCCCAUCUUUUGGUAGAGAUGGAGUCCAGCUCUUCAGUCUCCUCUAAGAUGUGAAAGCUAUUUUUUAAAAAGUACCCAGCCCCCUCCAUUUAGAAAAAGGUUGCCCUAGAUGAUCUCUAAGCUCCUUUCUAGCUUUAAAAUUCCAUAUUCUAUAUUCUUAGCCCAGCUCUGUAUAAAGCUGAACAGAGCCAUCAGAGCUCAGAAGGGUGUGGCAACUUUCACUGAGCAGGAAAGGAAAAUCCCAGGCGGUCUGAGUACUAGGGUGCUGUUUCUAGAGCCUAGGACCACUGUUGUACCUAUGCCCCCACCCAAAAGUACCCCAAAAGCUCCCCACUUGAGAUGUCCUAAGUGGGAAGAAGGAGGUACAGAAGUGGGGUAAGGGGAUUUGGGACUGCUCUCUGGAAUCUAGAAAAGGAGCUCUCCUUUUUUCUUCUAGGUGGCUGAGUAUGUGGGAAAGAGGUCCUAAAAUCCUGGGGGAAAGAGGAGGCUGGCCCCUAGGCUGAGAUCAGGGGUCUCUCCUGCCCAGAAGGAAGCACAAUCCCUCAUGAAUUAGGGUGCUUUCAGCAAGAAGGAAGCAGGGGGCCCUGCCUCAGCUGGGCUGAGAAAGAGUUAACCUCUGAGGAGAGCCCAAGCAUCCCUAGACUUGAGUCUGGUACCCAGCUCCUGCCCCAGCCCCUGCCAACUUUUGAGAAGAAGCCUUGGGAUCUGUAGUCACUGCCACCACCUUCCCCUGGCCUAACUGUUUAUCAACACUGCCUCGAAGACUACAGCUCCCAGAAACCUACUCUGGAUAGGCUUGGGGGGAACAAGGUGGGGGAGGUGUAUGGGGAGCGGUGGCAGCAGGAGAUGAAGGGAGAGGGAGGAAGGAGGUGGCAAGACAAAACCCAAUUUCCCCCCUUCCUUUUUAAUUCUUUCUUCUGGUGUGUCUGCUCCACCGCCCGGCUAAUCCCCCAAAUCCUGUCUCCUAAGCUGCAGCUGCUUCCCUGCCGCAGUGAUGAAUGACUCAGGGAGGGAAGGUGAAUUCAUAUUUUAAUUACUGAGGCUGGACGAUUGAAUGGUGUAUUUGGCAGACGACUCGUUUAGACCCCCACAUCGAAGACUGUUUCGGGCCACUGAAUGCUCAUGAAAACCUUAAAGGAAAAAGCAGGGAAGGGAAGUUGGCCACAAAUCACUGCCAGGGCUUUGAAGAUAAAAAGAGCCUACUCUCCAUUGCCCAGGGUCAUGUUCUCUUUUGGGAAGAUUAUCCAGAUACUUUUUGUAUACCUGCCACCCGGAUCCCUCUUACUCUCUCUGAUUCUGGGCUUUGGGGCUUCUUGUUCAUUAGCAUUUUCUGUGUUGAGACUAGGAGGCUAGCUAGCAGAAGCAAGUAUAGGAAGAAGAAAGGCAGCAUUAUGAGUGCCAUGUUAAGUUAGGCAUAAAUUGAAAAUCCAAGAUGAAAUGAGCUUUUUUUGGCAUUAUUUGUCAAUUUCAAAUGUUUGAGCCUCCUGCCCUAAAAGUACAGAUAAAAAAUUUGAAAACGAGAAACAGAAAGAGACAAAGAAACAGAGAGACAGACGGACAGAGAGGAGGGAGGGAGGAAGGGAGAAACACAGAGAGAGAAGUCCUCAAAUCCUCAGAAAGGAAAAAAAUUGGUGUAAAGGUGACUUCAUCUUGCCUUAGAGUGAUUCUUGCCCUUGAAAAAAAAAAAGGUUUUAAAUGUAAAUUUAUAAUACUUUAAGGUUUGCAGAUUACUUUCCAUUUUUAUCUUAUUUGAUUCUCUGCAAUUCUGUUGAGAUAGGUACUAUUUUUAUCUCCAUUUUACAGAUUAAGAACCAGGCUCAGAGAGAUCAAGCAAUUUACCCAAGUGCCACAAAACUAGUAAAUGCCUGAAGUAAUAUUUGAAACCAAGGCUCCCUAAACGAACUCCCCUGCUGUGUACCAUUAUAAUCUUAGGGGUUCUGUUACCUGGCACUCACUGUAUAUGAGAGUAAUGAGAGGAACACCAUGAACCUGGGUCUUUUGGGUUCUCUCCUCAACCAGAGACUUGAGAAUAAACUGCAAAGAUGGUCAAUGAGAUGGUUCAGUGGGCUAUGCCAGAACGGUUGGCAUAGAUUUUGUGCUUUACUCAGGGUUAAAUUUAGGAGAAAUUUGGUGGAUGAGGUUUUGUUUCUAAUUUCCAACCUUCUCUGAUAUAUUGGGGAAAGGGCAUAUCUUGAAAGCUAGGUAGUAUGAAAGGAAAAGUGGGGGGGGGGGAGAAGAAUGGAGUUAAAGAACUGCCAUAUCCAUUCUAGUCCUAGCCAAGGCACAGCUAUAGAUGGCAGAGAGAAUCCCAUCCCUCCCUUAGCAUACACUCAAACAACAUCCUAGGUCGAAAUAAUCUGCUCUUUUUCAUUUAGAGGUUCCUUUUCCCCCAAUAACAAGGGGCAUCCAACAAGAUGUGCCCCCCUUCCCAUCUAGCAAACAUCUGAAAUUCCUAUAGCAGAGGAAGUCAACACUGACAUUUCAGAAAGCCUUGGACUAAACUUCAGGAGCUCCAGCCCUGCUCAAGUGAAAGCUGCUGGCUUAUUCCUUCUUUCCACUGUCACUGUUUUAUUCCAACUUGCCAGUUCUAAACCUUCCUUACCGAGUCAUGUAGGGUAAUUCUUAAAAAGGUUAAAACUUUCCUUAUGUUGCCCCAUGGAUUCUAGGACCCCCAGGAAGGCACUGGGGUAGGGAGUGGGUGGAGAAAUUGAACUGGCAGAAAAAGGACAGGGGAGGUGGUAUAGAAGAAGGAUGGGUACAUAAGUAGGCAGCAAGGGAUCCAAGGAAGGGCCUGAGAGGGAAUUAUUGUCAGCACUAUUUCCAUAGCUGGUAGUGGUAUCUUUCUGGUCCUGGUUUUCCUUUUGUUAUCCUUAUCGAUUUCUACUGAUAUUUUCCCCUUGCAAUUUUAAUAAUACUUUGUGUUGUUAGAGAAUGGACUAACCUAAGGGAAAGAGGUUGGAGAAUUAUAGUGAAUCCCUAUAGUUCUCCCCUAAUCUGAAAUCCUUCAGGUCAGAUGGUCAAAUCUCUUUACCCACCCCCAUUCCCAUCCCAGUUGAAGGUGAGUUCUAAAAAUGCCCAAUAAUAAGCUCUGCAGAGUUAGUCCCCUGGCAUUUUUAAGCUAAAGAAUCCAAAGCCCAGAGAAGUUCUCUCAGAAGCCCAGAGUGACUCAGCAGCAGAUCCAGGAAUAGCACCCAAGUCUCCUGACUCCUAGUAUAUGGGGGUGUCUGAAUCAGUGUCUGUCUGUCUGUUUCUCUCUCUCUUUCUCUCUAGGUUUGCCAUGGGAGAGUUCCUUAGAUAGCUACAGUAGGUACAUCUAGAAAUAUAGUAGUUUUGUCUCCAUAUUCUAUAUAUAUCCUGGAGAUUGCUCUCUGGUAUCUAUAUAUACUCCAGGUGAGUGGGUGUAUGAACAGCACUGGAAAAUGGGUUAUUAAGUAACUGGCUUCCCUGCCUGGACUCACUAAGAUUCAGUCGCCUGCCCAUCCCAGCCAGCCUUUGGAAAUUUAUUGUACCUAUUAAUUACAACCAUUAACUACAGCUGGUGAAAUUUUUAUAAGGAGGACCCUGGUGACUCUGUCUUCCCUGCAGCAAAUUAACUAUGAGAGGGUGGGAGGGGGAGAGUCCCAUUGGCACCAUGGGCCCCACUAUGGGUGGGUUUUGACUGGUGAGGUUCCUGCUUAACCCUCUGCUCCUCUGCCUAAAGAAGCACAAGGGCAUUUUUUUUCUCCAAAAGGACAACAGAGGAGGGCAGACCUGACCUUCUGGGCCCAAAGAAGGCUCUGAUAUCAACCCAGCCUUUAGGACCACCUCAGUAGUUGAUCCAGUUUAAACCAACUUCCAGAUUCUGGCAUCUAGUAGACUCAGAGGAGAUUCCAGGGGUGAUACUUGGGGGAAGGGGUGGGGGACUUGUUCCAGCCUAUGAAAUAAAACAAAGAAAUGGGGCUGAAAAUGGUCAAUUAUAUAUAGCUUUCUGGGGAGGCAGGAUGGUCUAGUAAGCAGUGUUAAAGGUGGAGUCAAAAAAUUCUGGGUUUGUAUCUCACUUCUGAGGCCAGCUCUCUCACUCACUUUCUCUCCAUUCUUUUCCUCAUCUAUAAAAUGUCACAAUACCUACGAAGUCUACCUUACAGGGCAGUUGUGAGGAUCAAAUGAGACCAUAGCUUUAGCUCUGGAAGGAACCUUAGAGAUUAAUCAAUUGAUGAAACUAUAAACAUUUAUUAAGCACCUACUAUGCACCAAGCACCAUACAAAGAACAAAGAAUAAAAGAGAUGCAAAAGAUCAUCCCUGUUCUCACAGAGCUUACAAUCCAAUGGGGGAAACAACACAAAAACAAUUAUAGACAAAGAACACUAUCCACAGGAUAAAUGAAAAAUAAUUCUGAGAGGGAAGGCACUGGAUUUAAAAGGGCUUAGUAAGAGAAUUAAAAGAUUGGAAAGGGUUUCCUGUAGAAGGUAGGGUUUUAGUUGGGACUUAAAGGAAGUCACUGAGGUCAGUUCUCAGAGUGGAGGAGAGAGAGCAUUCCAGGAAUGAGAGGCAGCCAGAGAGAAUGCCUGAAACCAAGGGAUCUAGUCCAACUCCCUCAAAUAAAGUUAAGUGACUCAUCUAAGGUCAUAUAGGUCUGGGAUUGUGGCUGAUCCUAUGACUCCAAACCUGGAACUCUUUCCCAUUAUAUCAUAAUAUAUCUAGAAGGACAGUGUUGCAUAGUAGAAAGAGCCCAGAGUGUCAGGAAGGCCUGAGUUCAAACCCUACCCCUUAGAAAUUUACUUCUUUCCAGGCAGCUAGGUUGUUCAGUGGAUUGCAAGCCAGGCCUAGAGAUCAGAGGUCCUGGUUCAAAUUUGACCUCAGCCACACUUCCUAGCAGUAUGACCCUGGGUAAGUCACUUAAUCCUCUUUAACCAAUCCUUAUAGUUCUUUUGCCUUGGAACCAAAAUACAGUACUGAUUCUAAGAUGGGAGGUAAGGGUUUAAAAAAAAAAGACAAAUUUACUAGCUUGUGUGACUUGCCAGUCACUUCAACUCUCUGAACCUCAGUUUUCUUAUCUAUGAAAUGGAGAUAAUAACACCUCCUUUACAGGGUUAUUGUGAAGUUCAAAUGAGAUAACAGGAAAGUUCUUUGCUACAGUGCUAUUUUAAAUGUUAUCUAUUAUUAUCUAGGGUGCUUUUCAAACUUUACAUUGCUGCAUAAAUGUCAAAUACUAUUUUACUCUUCUAUUCCCUUUGAAAAAGUAUAAGCUAGACAGCUCAGGAAAACUCUCCCAGGUUCUCCCUUCCAUAUAACCAUGCCUAGCACCUUUCUCAAGUGAGCACUACAGUUCCAGGUUUGGCAGACCACUGUGCACAGAGCCUGCCUGGAGUAGAGUUCUGCCCUUCCUGUGUCAGGGCUCAGGUAAAGGAGGGAUGGAAAAACACAUCGAUGGAAUCACAACAUGGCCAAGGCCUAAGGGAACAGUCCUGCGUAGUCAGUUCACAGAGCCAUUUAUUAGGUCUGGGAGAAAAUGACAUUUCUAAAGUGAGCAGGCUGAUCUCCGAUGGCUCCUCAUCCAUCACUGAGACUGAGACAAGCACAAGAAUUCUCCAGCUUUUUGUGUUGAGGACCUGUCAAUGGAGAUAUUUGCCCAACAGGAGGCAAACCUAAAUGAAGAGGCAGAUCUCCAGUGAAUGGCCCUCAGCCAGGAGUAGGGAAUGCCCCAAUUCACCUUUGCCUGCUUCUGUGGACUCCAUGGCUUCUGCAAAAUGAAGAGGAAGAAAGAGGAUACCCGCAGGCAUCGGGAGACAGCAGUGUGAGUGGAAACAGGGACUGUACCAUUUGCCUGGUCAGGUUACCCCCUUGUCCCAUCCUGAGGGAGUACUUCACUUGGUACCCUUUGAGAUUCCUGAUGUGAGGCUCCAACCUAGAGGUUAGGACCUUGACGAAGAAGAUAUAGUUGGCACCAUUCAUAUGCUUUGCAUCCCCAUACCCCAUCUCAUCUAACCCUGAAUGGAUAUUGGGACUUUUCCAGAUGCAGAAUAGGGGUGGUUGGAAUGGUCCCAGGUGGUUUGAGGAGUAGAUGCUUAACCCAGAGACAAAGCCAGGGAGGCCUUUUCUGUUUAACCUGAUUCAAAAUCUAAGUUUCAUCCCACCCCACCUGCUUUCACCUCUCCUCUGUACCCUCCGAUCCUCCAACCCAUACCCAGGAACCUCCAUGCUUGAGGAAGUUUGGGCAAAGACAGGAUAAAGCCAAAUGAAGCUCGGAAACCUCUGUCAGGCCUUCAAGAGAAAGAGAAGACUUCAUACCUGGAACAUUUAUUCUGUCCUGAAACUGAAUGUUUAUUGAAGGAAACCCAUUCAGAAUGAAGGACUCGAAGUCAUAGGUUGGGAUAAUAAUUGCAAAAUCAAGAAGAUGGAGAGAUGGGCACCAACUUCUUUUGAUUAGAAUCGUGGAACUGUCCCUUUUCUGGAUUGGGGAGGUGGGAAAGGAAGGGAUGUGUUCUUUGGUGGGCUCUGGUGGGACCAGUGUAGGGGGAAAACAUUUUUCUUAAGAAAUGGAAAUUGGGGUUUAGAAUUCUGGGGAGGAAUUUCUAAGUGCUGAUAGGAGGGUAGGGGGAAAGGAUUGACUCUGUGUCCUCUCCUUCUUUUGGGCCUAUCUAUUCCAGGUUCUCUUUAUUUUAGGCUCCAUUGGAGGUCAGAGUAGUGGAAGAUGGGAUGAAUGAAUUAAGGAACUUCAGGUAGGAAACAUAUGGUAGAUAGUGAUGUCUGUACUUCCCCUCAAGAUGGAUUCCAGUUCUUUAGGGUUCUUUUCCUCUCCUCAUUUUCUACUGAUAACUUAGUUUCUGUCCAUAAGGCAGAAAUUUCUUCUUCCAGAUGAGCCAAUAAGUUCCAUCAUUUGCUUCCACAAUUUCCAUGCUUUCAGGGCGGGGAGAGUGAUCCGAGCAACUCUAGGUUUCUAGUGAGCCCUUCUCCCCUUCUUAAAGCCAUAAGAAAAUGUUUAAAUGUUGUGCCUUUUGGAGGAGAUCUGGGGAGUGAGAAGGCUUUGAGAUACAUAAUUGUUUUUUAUUUCCUUCCGUUGUCCUUUCCAGAAGGUAGGAGGCAGAAGAGAUAAUAAUUUUCUUCUUUGUAUUAUUUAGUAAGCAAAUAGAGUUUUGUCAAUAUGCCUGCGGUACCUUUAGUUAGACUCUAGCAGAGGCAAAAGAAAAGAAGAAAGGAAGGAAGGGAGGCAGGGAAAGAGGGAAAGAAAUAAAGGGGGGGGGGCAAAAUAAGAAGGAAUGGAAUAGAGAAAAAAGAAAAAGAAAAA